rnacentral:rRNA from 1 species
UACGGGGGGGGCAAGCGUUGUUCGGAAUUACUGGGCGUAAAGGGCGCGUAGGCGGCCUGCUAAGUCGGAUGUGAAAUCCCUCGGCUCAACCGAGGAACUGCAUCCGAUACUGGCGGGCUUGAAUCCGGGAGAGGGAUGUGGAAUUCCAGGUGUAGCGGUGAAAUGCGUAGAUAUCUGGAGGAACACCGGUGGCGAAGGCGGCAUCCUGGACCAGUAUUGACGCUGAGGCGCGAAAGCUAGGGGAGCAAACGGG